UACGUAGGUGGCGAGCGUUGUCCGGAUUUACUGGGCGUAAAGGGAGCGUAGGCGGACUUUUAAGUGAGAUGUGAAAUACUCGGGUUCAACUUGAGUGCUGCGUUUCAAACUGGAAGUCUAGAGUGCAGGAGAGGAGAAUGGAAUUCCUAGUGUAGCGGUGAAAUGCGUAGAGAUUAGGAAGAACACCAGUGGCGAAGGCGAUUCUCUGGACUGUAACUGACGCUGAGGCUCGAAAGCGUGGGGAGCAAACAGG
rnacentral:rRNA from 1 species